AAUUCAAUAAGUGACAAUUGUCUUUCUAAUAAAAGUUAUUUUCUUUUCCUUUACUUUCUUGUUAUUUACUUUUAUGCUUUUCUCCUUCUUCUCCACGUCUACGAUGAACAUGAGUGAGUAGACUUCUCUUGUCUUGGGAUUGUUGGAUAAGUCUUAAUGACAUAAUCCUAAUCAAACCAAGUUAUUGACCCUGAUCUCUUAUGUAACCAAGGGUUUGAUAAUUGUUAAUCCAUCAUCUCAAAUAUCAAUUCAUAAAACGAAAGUGGAGCUUUGAUAUUCGAACAAGUGAAUUUAGACAAGGUUACAAAGGCAGCGAAAUAGUCUUUGCAAUCUUUGAGACAUUUCAAUCUUCAAGGGAACUAAUAGCAAUCAAGUCAGCGAAAUAGGCUUGUCUAUUAAAGGAACCAAAAUCUAAUAGUAAUCAAGUCAACGAAAUAGGCUUGGUUGCUAGAGGAACAAAAGAGAAACUGUCUUUAGAAGUUAGGUCUAACAUAAGGUUCUAGGUUUACUAGUUUGGUUUGAGAAGGAUUUGUCAUUAAGGUGAACCAAUAGUCCCAAGGCUCUUUUUAUAUUAUUAUCUUUCAACCGUUUGAAAACCCCAAUUUUACAACUUGGUUCUCUUCUAAUCAUCGACUAAAGUUAAUUGAAUUAAACAACUCCCUAUCGGAACGAAACUCUUAUUUUACUACUUCGAUAGAACCGUACACUUGCGGUUUUAUCCCAUCAAGUUUUUGGCGCCGCUGCUGGGGAGUUGACUAAUUUAAUUAACAUUUUCUUUAUGAUUAGAAUCUUUUCUUUUCCCUUUUACUCCUACUUCUUUCUUUCUUUUGUUUUACCGUUAACUUCUUGGAUUCUCAAUUUCUUAUGCAAAGAAGUAAAAGUCUCGGAGAAUUUAUUCCUGAGAUCAAAAGAUAUUUGCAUAAGUAAAGGAGAGAGGCACAAAAUAAUAUUGCCAUGGUUGAACGCACUCUCAAAGAGUAUGCAACACCUUCUACGGAAGAGCCAGAAGCUAUUAUUGUGUACCCGACGGUUGAGGGUAACAACUUCGAAAUCAAGCCUGCACUACUCAAUUUGGUGCAGCAAAAUCAGUUUUCUGGAUCACCCACUGAGGAUCCAAAUCUCCAUAUUACUUCCUUCCUAAGACUCAGUGACACUAUAAAAGAGAACCAAGAAGCCUUAAGACUUCAUCUCUUUACCUUUUCCUUAAGGGAUAGAGCUAGCGCUUGUUUCCAUUCCCUCGAAGUUGGUUCCAUCACUUCAUAGGAUCAAAUGAGGCGAGCAUUCCUUGCCCGAUUCUUUCCCCCCUCUAAAACCACUAAACUAAGAGAUCAAAUCACGCGGUUCAAUCAAAAAGAUGGGGAGUCUCUUUAUGAUGUGUGGGAGCGUUUCAAGGAAAUGCUUAGACUUUCUCCCCACCAUGGUUUAGAAAAGUGGCUCAUAGUCCAAACUUUUUAUAAUGGCCUAACAUAUACCACUAAGAUGUCUGUUGAUGUAGCUGCAGGUGGAGCCUUGAUGAACAAUAACUAUACGGAGGCUUACGCUUUGAUUGAAGACAUGGCUCAGAAUCACUACCAAUGGACCAACGAGAGAGCCAUCACUUCGAAACCCUCUAAAAAAGAGCCAGUUAUGUACGAAGUCUCUGAUUAUGAUCACCUUGCUGCUAAGGUGGAUGCACUAACCAAAAAAAUUUGAAAAAUUUAAUGUUAGUGUAGUCACACCUACUCCUACAUCUCCUCAUUGUGAAAUCUGUGGUAUAUUCGGUCAUAUUGGUGUUGAUUGUCAGUUAGGUAGUGUUACUAAUAGUAUUGAGCAAAUCAACUAUGCUCAAUACAACCAAGGAAUGAGGCCUAACCAAAACUUUUAUAAAAAUCCUCAAGAUUCCUAUGGACAAGUAGCACCACCUAGCUAUACAAACAAUCAGAGGGUGGCUCAGAAAUCAAGUUUGGAAAUUUUGUUGGAAAAUUGCAUGAUGAAUCAAAAUAACUAACUUCAAGAACUAUAAAAUCAAACGAGAUUUCUGAACGACUCUCUCUCCAAACUCAAUACCAAGGUAGAUUCUAUCGCCACACACACUAAAAUACUUGAGACCCAAAUCUCCCAAGUGGCACAACAAGUGGCCACCUCUUCUCAAACACCGGGAGUCUUUCCUGGUCAAACCGAAGCCAAUCCAAAGGCUCAUGUCAAUGCUAUUUCUUUCGGGGGUAGUAAGUUAGAAGAGACCGUUGCUAAAGCUAAAAGUACCAAGGGAGAGAGUGUUAAGCUUUUAGGUGAGAAAGAUGUGAUCGAGAGUGAGAAACCGCUUGAUAAGAACAAAGCCCCUUCCCGAUUAAGUCUUGUUAAGCUUAACUUGGAGGCUCAAUUCAAUAAAUUUGUGAACAUACUUAAGAAGAUUUUCAAAAAGAUUCCCUUUGCUGAAGCUUUGUCUCGUAUGCCUCUAUAUGCAAAGUUUUUAAAAGAAUUUUUUUCAAAGAAAAAGGCUAUAGAUCACAAUGAGACAAUAGCUUUGACAAGGGAAAGUAGUGCAAUCAUCAAGAAGCCACCUACAAAGCUUCGAGAUCUAGGUAGUUUUGCCAUCCCUUUUGUGAUAGGGACUGAGACCUUAGACAAAGCCUUGUGUGACUUAGGUGCUAGUGUAAGUUUGUUUCCCUUAUCCCUCUUUAAAAAGAUGGAAAUAGGAGAGUUGAAACCUACCGAAACAACAUUGAAGUUAGCUGAUCGUUCUACUAUCCAACCUGUCAGAAGCUUGGCACGGCCGUGCCACCUCCCAGAACAACUUUUGCUACUUUUGCUUAUAUUUUAAGCUACUCUAUUUUAGUUUUACCAAAAAGCCCGUUGCUUGUGGAACAUUCUAGUGAUGUAAUUGCUUAGAUUCUAAGUCGAAUGUAAACUAUAAAUAGAGUAGCUAGCCAUCAUAAAUAUUCAUCUUUUCUUGGAAUUCAAUAAGUGACAAUUUUCUUUCUAAUAAAAGUUCUUUUCUUUUCCUUUACUUUCUUAUUAUUUACUUUUAUGCUUUUCUUCUUCUUCUUCUCAUGUCUACGAUGAACAUGAGUGAGUAGACUUCUCUUGUCUUGGGAUUGUUGGAUAAGUCUUAAUGACAUAAUCCUAAUCAAACCA
rnacentral:lncRNA from 1 species